AGAGUUUGAUCCUGGCUCAGGACGAACGCUGGCGGCGUGCUUAACACAUGCAAGUCGAACGAUGAAGCCCAGCUUGCUGGGUGGAUUAGUGGCGAACGGGUGAGUAACACGUGAGUAACCUGCCCCUCACUCUGGAAUAAGCGUUGGAAACGACGUCUAAUACUGGAUAGGACCGCCGAUCGCAUGGUCUGGUGGUGGAAAGAUUUUUUGGUUGGGGAUAGACUCGCGGCCUAUCAGCUAGUUGGUGAGGUAAUGGCUCACCAAGGCGACGACGGGUAGCCGGCCUGAGAGGGUGACCGGCCCCCCUGGGACUGAGACACGGCCCAGACUCCUACGGGAGGCAACAGUAGGGAAUAUUACACAAUGGGCGAAAGCCUGAUACAGCAACGCCGCGUGAGGGAUGACGGCCUUCGGGUUGUAAACCUCUUUUAGUAGGGAAGAAGCGAAAGUGACGGUACCUGCAGAAA
rnacentral:rRNA from 1 species